rnacentral:rRNA from 1 species
AGGACGAACGCUGGCGGCGUGCUUAACACAUGCAAGUCGAGCGGUAAGGCCCUUUCGGGGGUACACGAGCGGCGAACGGGUGAGUAACACGUGGGUGACCUGCCCUUAGCUCUGGGAUAAGCCUGGGAAACUGGGUCUAAUACCGGAUAUGACCUCGCGAUGCAUGUCGUGGGGUGGAAAGCCUUGUGCGGCUAGGGAUGGGCCCGCGGCCUAUCAGCUUGUUGGUGGGGUGAUGGCCUACCAAGGCGACGACGGGUAGCCGGCCUGAGAGGGCGACCGGCCACACUGGGACUGAGACACGGCCCAGACUCCUACGGGAGGCAGCAGUGGGGAAUCUUGCGCAAUGGGCGAAAGCCUGACGCAGCGACGCCGCGUGAGGGAUGACGGCCUCGGGUUGUAACCUCUUUCAGCCCUGACGAAGCGAAAGUGACGGUAGGGCGAGAAGAAGCACCGGCCAACUACGUGCCAGCAGCCGCGGUA